AGUUCACGGCGUAGUGAAGCGGCAACAGCUCCAAAUUUGAAAUCUGGCCUCGGCCCGAGUUGUAAUUUGCAGAGGAAGCUUUAGGCGCGGCCCCAACUGAGUCCCCUGGAACGGGGCGCCACAGAGGGUGAGAGCCCCGUAUAGUUGGACGCCUAGCCUGUGUAAAGCUCCUUCGACGAGUCGAGUAGUUUGGGAAUGCUGCUCAAAAUGGGAGGUAAAUUUCUUCUAAAGCUAAAUACCGGCCAGAGACCGAUAGCGCACAAGUAGAGUGAUCGAAAGAUGAAAAGCACUUUGAAAAGAGGGUUAAAUAGCACGUGAAAUUGUUGAAAGGGAAGCGCUUGUGACCAGACUUGCGCCGGGCUGAUCAUCCGGUGUUCUCACCGGUGCACUCUGCCCGGCUCAGGCCAGCAUCGGUUCUCGCGGGGGGACAAAGGCUCCGGGAACGUAGCUCCUCCGGGAGUGUUAUAGCCCGGGGCGCAAUGCCCCCGCGGGGACCGAGGACCGCGCUCU
rnacentral:rRNA from 1 species